CACGGCUCUGUCUCUGGGUUUUGGGGAGCCAAGACGGCGUUCGAGUUUUUUAGCGGGCCCUUCUUCCUCUCGGUUGCUCUCGUGAAGCUGAGAGUGAGGAAAGGAAACCCUCUCUCAGAUCUGGCAACAAGACCUCUCAGAUCUCGAUUGGAGCGUAAGAGCUCGUAAUAUUGCCGGUUCAUAGACCGGAGGCCAUGGCGGCAAGAAGAGCAGUAAAUCCCUCUCGACGCUUGGCUGACAGUGGAAGCGUUCCGCUCGCCAGCUCACUGCAUCAGAAAUCACGAACGUCUCCUUUACUAUCGAUUGGGCUGGUUCUUGUGGGUGCUUUUCUUCUCAUUGGGUACUCCUAUAGAGGCUCAGGUGGAUUUGCCAGCGACAGGGAAGCUAUAGGCAGGGAUGAAGGAGGUUCCUGUACAUCAGACGUUCUACAAGGAAUACCCAUUCUAAAGAAAGCAUAUGGAGACAGCAUGCGUAAAGUUUUGCAUGUAGGCCCUGACACCUGUAAAGUGGUUGCUAAGUUGUUGAAAGAUGACGACAUUGAAGCCUGGGGUGUGGAACCUUAUGACUUGGAGGAUGUUGAUAGUAUCUGCAAGACCCUUGUGCACAAAGGCUUUGUCCGUCUAGCUGAUAUCAAGUUUCCUCUACCAUACAGGCCAAAAUCAUUUUCCCUUGUCAUUGUAUCAGAUGCACUGGAUUACUUAUCUCCAAGGUAUCUUAACAAGACCCUUCCAGAUUUGGUAAGGGUAUCCUCAGAUGGUCUUGUUAUAUUUGCUGGCUAUCCAGGUCAGCAGAGAGCUAAGGUUUCUGAGCUGUCAAAAUUUGGGAGGCCGGCGAAAUUACGGAGUUCAUCCUGGUGGAUACGGUAUUUUGUUCAGACUGGCGUGGAGGAGAAUGAAUCUGUCAUGAAGAAGUUUGAGCAGGCUGCAACCAAGCGGUCAUACAAACCGGGCUGCCAAAUUUUCCAUCUCAAGUCGUAGUGUUCAUCCUGGCAUAUCUCGUGGGACAAAUUCACAAAAAUCAGAGCACUACGAGGCCUCUUUAAACCUCUACCAUGUCAGCAACCUGUCUGUAUCUGGUCAUUUGGUACCUACCAGUGCAGCGGAGAAUGUCUGAGCACCUUCACUCGCUAAACAUAAUUUGUUGAGUUAGUUGGAUUAUUCUGGUCACUGAUCUGUAGUGUCUAGAAUCACAGUGCAUUCGCACGAAGUUCACGAGUCAUUCAGAAUGAUGACUCAUAUAUGGGGAAGAAGGUUAUCAAGGAACAAAGGGGUGCAUUGGGCGUACCGACACUAUAACAAAAUCAAAAUGGUACUGGUACGAGAUUUAGUUCCGAGAUGGCAAAUUUUGGGUCCCUUAAUCUUGGUUAUUCUGGUCGAGGAUCAUUUGCUGACAAGAAAGUUGUCAACGGUCAAUCUUUCCAUUUAAUCGGUGGCAGAAGGGGAGAGGUUUGCUCUCUCUUACAACAAAUUCUUGCUUUAAAGUUCUUCCAGUUAACCUUGUUUUGCUAUUUGCAAACCGGACAUAGCUCGAGAUGCCAACCUAACUAGUAUUUUGUGCAUGUCAUGUGCCAGUCAAAGAAAGAUUUGAGAAAAGAGGCUGCUAUCCGCCUCCAAGUUGCUAAUCCAACUUAGGAGUCUUAUCCUUGUGGAGGCUGAGGUUGAUAAAUAACCAUGGAUCAAUAAUGGCCGGUUGCACAGCGUCCAUCUUACAUAAUCUUUAUUCAUAAUCUACUACUGUAAUGAUAAUGACAGCAUGUUGAUAACCACUCUGCCCAUCUAAUAUCAUAAGAACCACCGGUGGCUUUCGAUUCAGUGAACUGCUAAAUCCUAGCUUUCCUCACUAGAAGCAAUACCCAAUUGUGCAUGCUUCUUUAGAAUGUAUCCAUCAGUCCUAUGUCCAACUACAUUUUUGAUCCA